AACGAACGCUGGCGGCGUGGUUUAGGCAUGCAAGUCGAAACGAGAAAACAGGGGGCGAACUACCUCGAAGUAACAGUGGCGAAAGGGUAGGAGUAAUACCUAGACAAUCUACCCUCCGAGCCUGGGACAACAGCUGGAAACGGACUGCUAAUACCGGGUGGUAAGCGUGUGGCUUCGGCCGUGCGCUUUAAAGACGGGGGACCCGUUC
rnacentral:rRNA from 1 species